rnacentral:lncRNA from 1 species
UUGUCCUAUAUUUCGUAUGAUAUCAUAUUAAAUUAUGUUAAAUUAAAUAAAAAUAAAGUUAAAUAAUAUUUAAUAAGAACAAUUAAAUUUAUUUUAAAUUAUAUGUUUUAUGUAUGAUGUAUAUUAUUUCCCAGCGAGAUUGCACCGAUCUCGUCCGUCUGGUUCGGGGUCGUUGUUCAGCAACCUCAACCUCAUUCAGCAUAUCUUUUUUUUUUGCAAUCAAAUUCUCCUUUUCAGUCCGCAAGUCAUCAAGACAAGAUUAUCUUUAUAAGACCCCGUAUAUACUUAGCUUCUCCACCAUCGUAAGAUAAAAUUGGACGAAUUGUGGCCGCUGAUAAGAAGGUUGAGAUGAUGCCGCCCAUUUUUGUUGAAAGAUUUCAAAGGAAUGAAAGAAGACAGAGAAACUAACAGUGGAGUAUAAUGAAAAACUUGCAUUAUCUCCUCAAGUUAUAGGCGAGAGAUAACAUUUGUGGUUAUUAUUAUCUGACCACCUAAAAUUAUCUUUUUGUAUAAAUAACUGCAUUUCUUUUUGACAUUCCUUUCCUACGUAGGUGGAGUUUGAAUCUCAAAUCUCUUGUCCUGCCUUGAGAGAUUGUAUUGACAUCAUAAAUGCUUUUGAUGUAUUUCAUACUUAAAAAAUACUUGUAUAACACAUGUUUUAUUGUUUGUUUCUGCAGGAUACCAUGUAGAAGUGGAAAAUGUACAACGCCCGUAGAGGUGACACCCUUCCAGUUGAUUAUAAGUGAAGUCUUCCCAGGAAUUUGUAGCCAAGGUUUUUCUAUACCCUGGAGCCUUUGCAAGUGCUAUAAUGAAAGGCAAAAACAUUCCUAGAUAUUUGUGCUUUGUGCUUUCUUGUCUAUUAGAAAAGAUCUAAGGAAAAUUAUUCUUUGUUAAAAAGCCCAGCAGAUAAAAAAGUAUGUUUGAUUAAAAGUAAAAGAUGCAUGAGUUGAGGCCAACGAAGAAAUGUGAUUUCUGCCAGAAAUUCAGUUGGGGUACACAGAAGGAAUGAUGUAGUAGUAUAAGCUGAGAUUUAAGAAUGGUUUCGAAUUUUAAUGGGGGUUAGCCAGUAGAAUAUUUGGGUUUCUGUAUGUUGUAACAAUUUUUUUUCCUUUCUUUUCCUGUAAACCCUUUUCUGUAGGAUCUUGUUACCUCUGCUAAUUAAAUGACACAUUGUGAUUUUAUCCUGUUUCACAUAUAUGCAAGUGCAAACCGGUGGUCACAUAGGGGCAAUUAUUGGAGAUGAAUUAUUGGACGCAUACGUUGCUGGUAUGUGUGUAGACUGCGAAUUUUUUAAUUUUUUUUCUUGCGCUUUGUCUGGUUCCUUUUUUUUUUUUUUUUUUUUUUUUUUAAUAAGUGGUUUGGUUGGCUUUUAGAAGAGCUCAGGAGGCAAGAAAUUGAAAUGAAAGAAAGGAAAAGAAAUAAUAAAAAUAUUUCUUUCCUUUUUCGUUAAACUUUAUUUGGAUAAUUAUUUGUACUAAAUUCUUGUGUUUUGAAGGUGGGUUGGUUCUUUAGUGUAAGAUGAUCACUAUGGUUUGCUUAAUAAAUUAUCAUUGGGAG